rnacentral:misc_RNA from 1 species
UAUUGCACACCAGUGUAAGCAUAUGAUGUAAUUAAAUCAAGGAACUUGAAAGGCAUAACACUACAAUACAAGUGCAAGCAGGUAACUAGAAAAACUUAUCAAUCGUUAAUCAAGCAAUAAAGUGCAAACCAUAAAUUAUGAUGAAAUUGUUUUGACUGUGAAAACUGAGCAUGACGGUUCAGGUAUCAGUUGAACUCAUUCAUCUCAAUCAAGUAUUAAUUGCAAUGUCAAUAAGAACAGUUUACAAAUGCUUUUCCCCAAGUUGCCUUGCCUUUGAGCCAUAUUAACCACAUGUUCAGAGAUUCAAUAUGAGUCAAAACUUCCAUUGCAGUAAUAGUUGCGAUCAAAAGCCACUCAUCCCCCCUCUCACAUGGGUAAGAGAAUUUAAGUGAGAAAUAAAGAUGGUUUUUAAUACUGAUGUUGCAGAGAUGCUCAUCCUAUCCAAUCAACAUUCUCCCAACAUUUGGCACUUGUCACUAUCAGAUGAACAUUUAACAAGAUAAAAUAGUAUCUUCUUUUUCUUUUGAGUAUCUUUUUUCCAUUUAUCUUCUGCUUUCUUCCCUUUCACUUAUUAAUAAUACAUGAAACCCUCACCAAGACUGCCAGCUAUUCUACAAUACUGGCAUUAAUCAUGAGGUUUAUCUCUUUUUUCCUUGUCAUAUUCAUCAAUCUACUCUAUGGAUAGGGUACUGGCGGUUGAAGACAAUAUUUCCACCAUUAAUUAACUCAUAAGCACUAGCUAAUUACUAUAUACUGUUGCCAGGGAAAGGUUGCUUACUCUUCCUUGCAGUAUUAUAAUUCCUAUGCAAUUUCAAGCAAGAUCUUGCUCAAAAUCGUGCUCUUCUGAUUGAAAUUGACCUAAUAAGUUCA